UACGUAGGGGGCAAGCGUUGUCCGGAAUCAUUGGGCGUAAAGCGCGUGUAGGCGGCUCGGUAAGUCCGCUCUGAAAGUCCAGGGCUCAACCCUGGGAUGCGGGUGGAUACUGCCGAGCUCGAGUCCGGAAGAGGCGAGUGGAAUUCCUGGUGUAGCGGUGAAAUGCGCAGAUAUCAGGAGGAACACCGAUGGCGAAGGCAGCUCGCUGGGACGUGACUGACGCUGAGACGUGAAAGCGUGGGGAGCAAACAGG
rnacentral:rRNA from 1 species